rfam:Camelus ferus unplaced genomic scaffold scaffold2180, whole genome shotgun sequence.
GAGGGUAUAGCUCAGUGGUAGAGCGUGUGCUUAGCAUGCAUGAGGUCCUAGGUUCAAUCCCCAGUACCUCCA